rnacentral:rRNA from 1 species
AGUCCAGCCUGCCCAGUGACCAAGUUAAACGGCCGCGGUACCCUAACCGUGCAAAGGUAGCGCAAUCACUUGUUCUUUAAAUGAGGACUAGUAUGAACGGCAUCACGAGGGUUACACUGUCUCCCCACUCCACUCAGUGAAACUGAUCCCCCCGUGAAGAAGCGGGGAUAAAAAUAUAAGACGAGAAGACCCCAUGGAGCUUNNNNCUCAGUAUCAUCUGCUACUACAAUAACCAAGUAACAACGCAACAAUGACAACUGGUUUUUGGUUGGGGUGACCGCGGAGUAAAACAAAACCUCCACAACGAAAGGAACUAACAACCUAAUCUAAGAGCGACAGCUCUAAGAAUCAUAUAAAUUGACUUAAUUGAUCCAAUCACUUGAUCAACGAACCAAGUUACCCUGGGGAUAACAGCGCAAUCCAUUUAAAGAGCCCAUAUCGACAAAUGGGUUUACGACCUCGAUGUUGGAUCAGGGUAUCCCAGUGGCGCAGCAGCUACUAACGGUUCGUUUGUUCAACGAUUAAAACCCUACGUGAUCUGAGUUCAGACCGGA